rnacentral:rRNA from 1 species
UGCCACCGCCGCGGUAAUACGGAUGGUGCGAGCGUUAAUCGGAAUUACUGGGCGUAAAGCGCGCGUAGGCGGUUUUGUAAGUCAGAUGUGAAAGCCCCGGGCUCAACCUGGGAACUGCAUUCGAUACUGGCCGACUAGAGUACGAGAGAGGGAGGUAGAAUUCCACGUGUAGCGGUGAAGUGCGUAGAUAUGUGGAGGAAUACCGGUGGCGAAGGCGGCCUCCUGGCUCGAUACUGACGCUGAGGUGCGAAAGCGUGGGGAGCAAACAGGAUUAGAUA